rnacentral:rRNA from 1 species
AUUGAACGCUGGCGGCAGGCCUAACACAUGCAAGUCGAACGAGUGGCGGACGGGUGAGUAAUGUCUGGGAAACUGCCUGAUGGAGGGGGAUAACUACUGGAAACGGUAGCUAAUACCGCAUACCAUCGGAUGUGCCCAUAUGGGAUUGGCUAGUCGGUGGGGUAAAGGCUCACCUAGGCGACGAUCCCUAGCUGGUCUGAGAGGAUGACCAGCCACACUGGAACUGAGGCACGGUCCAGACUCCUACGGGAGGCAGCAGUGGGGAAUAUUGCACAAUGGGCGCAAGCCUGAUGCAGCCAUGCCGCGUGUAUGAAGAAGGCCUUCGGGUUGUAAAGUACUUUCAGCGGGGAGGCGGAAGGCGAAGAAGAAGCACCGGCUAACUCCGUGCCAGCAGCCGCGGUAAUAG